AUUGAACGCUGGCGGCAGGCCUAACACAUGCAAGUCGAGCGGAUGAAGGGAGCUUGCUCCUGGAUUCAGCGGCGGACGGGUGAGUAAUGCCUAGGAAUCUGCCUGGUCGUGGGGGAUAACGUCCGGAAACGGGCGCUAAUACCGCAUACGUCCUGAGGGAGAAAGUGGGGGAUCUUCGGACCUCACGCUAUCUGAUGAGCCUAGGUCGGAUUAGCUAGUUGGUGGGGUAAAGGCCUACCAAGGCGACGAUCCGUAACUGGUCUGAGAGGAUGAUCAGUCACACUGGAACUGAGACACGGUCCAGACUCCUACGGGAGGCAGCAGUGGGGAAUAUUGGACAAUGGGCGAAAGCCUGAUCCAGCCAUGCCGCGUGUGUGAAGAAGGUCUUCGGAUUGUAAAGCACUUUAAGUUGGGAGGAAGGGCAGUAAGUUAAUACCUUGCUGUUUUGACGUUACCAACAGAAUAAGCAACGGCUAACUUCGUG
rnacentral:rRNA from 1 species